rnacentral:tRNA from 1 species
GCUGAGAUAGCUCAGGGGUAGAGCAAAGGAUUGAAAAUCCUUGUGUCGUUCGUUCAAAUCGAACUCUUGGC